UAGGGAAUCUUCGGCAAUGGACGGAGGUCUGACCGAGCAACGCCGCGUGAGUGAAGAAGGUUUUCGGAUCGUAAAGCUCUGUUGUAAGAGAAGAACGAGUGUGAGAGUGGAAAGUUCACACUGUGACGGUAUCUUACCAGAAAGGGACGGCUAACUACGUGCCAGCAGCCGCGGUAAUACGUAGGUCCCGAGCGUUGUCCGGAUUUAUUGGGCGUAAAGCGAGCGCAGGCGGUUAGAUAAGUCUGAAGUUAAAGGCUGUGGCUUAACCAUAGUAGGCUUUGGAAACUGUUUAACCUGAGUGCAAGAGGGGAGAGUGGAAUUCCAUGUGUAGCGGUGAAAUGCGUAGAUAUAUGGAGGAACACCGGUGGCGAAAGCGGCUCUCUGGCUUGUAACUGACGCUGAGGCUCGAAAGCGUGGGGAGCAAACAGGAUUAGAUACCCUGGUAGUCCACGCUGUAAACGAUGAGUGCUAGGUGUUAGACCCUUUCCGGGGUUUAGUGCCGUAGCUAACGCAUUAAGCACUCCGCCUGGGGGAGUACGACCGCAAGGUUGA
rnacentral:rRNA from 1 species